rnacentral:rRNA from 1 species
UAAUACGGAGGGUGCGAGCGUUGUCCGGAAUCAUUGGGCGUAAAGGGCGCGUAGGUGGCCCGGUCAGUUCGUGGUGAAAGCGCGGGGCUCAACCCUGCGUCGGCCAUGAAUACUGCCGCGGCUGGAGCACUGUAGAGGCAGACGGAAUUCCGGGUGUAGCGGUGGAAUGCGUAGAGAUCCGGAGGAAGACCGGUGGCGAAGGCGGUCUGCUGGGCAGUUUCUGACACUGAGGCGCGACAGCGUGGGGAGCAAACAGGAUUAGAUACCCUGGUAGUCCACGCCGUAAACGAUGGGUACUAGGUGCCUGGGGGAGCGACCCUCUGGGUGCCGGCGCUAACGCAGGAAGUACCCCGCCUGGGGAGUACGACCGCAAGGUUG